GAUGAACGCUGGCGGCGUGCCUAAUACAUGCAAGUCGAGCGAACAGACGAGGAGCUUGCUCCUCUGACGUUAGCGGCGGACGGCUGAGUAACACGUGGAUAACCUACCUAUAAGACUGGGAUAACUUCGGGAAACCGGAGCUAAUACCGGAUAAUAUAUUGAACCGCAUGGUUCAAUAGUGAAAGACGGUUUUGCUGUCACUUAUAGAUGGAUCCGCGCCGCAUUAGCUAGUUGGUAAGGUAACGGCUUACCAAGGCGACGAUGCGUAGCCGACCUGAGAGGGUGAUCGGCCACACUGGAACUGAGACACGGUCCAGACUCCUACGGGAGGCAGCAGUAGGGAAUCUUCCGCAAUGGGCGAAAGCCUGACGGAGCAACGCCGCGUGAGUGAUGAAGGUCUUCGGAUCGUAAAACUCUGUUAUUAGGGAAGAACAAAUGUGUAAGUAACUAUGCACGUCUUGACGGUACCUAAUCAGAAAGCCACGGCUAACUACGUG
rnacentral:rRNA from 1 species